CCUACGGGUGGCAGCAGUGGGGAAUAUUGGGCAAUGGAGGAAACUCUGACCCAGCAAUGCCGCGUGAAUGAAGAAGGUCUUCGGAGUGUAAAGUUCUUUAGUCAGGGAAGAAUAAAAUGACGGUACCUGAAGAAUAAGUUCCGGCUAAAUACGUGGCAGGAGCCGCGGGAAUACGUAGGGAGCAAUCGUUGUUCGGAAGUACUGGGCGUAAAGGGUGCGUAGGCGGUUAUACAAGUUAGAAGUGAAAUACACAGGGCUUAAAUGGGGUGCUGCUUUUAAUACUGUAAGACUUGAGUACAGUAGAGGUUGGUGGAAUUCCUGGUGUAGCGGUGGAAUGCGUAGAUAUUAGGAAGAACACCGGAGGCGAAGGCAGCUAACUAGACUGCAACUGACGCUGAGGCACGAAAGUGUGGGUAGCAAACAGGAUUAGAUACCCGGGUAGUC
rnacentral:rRNA from 1 species